GGCUCUCAUUCUCGGCUGCAACCCGAAAUAUAGCGACAUAAUGUCGCGCUAGUCU
rnacentral:tRNA from 1 species